AUCACAUCUUGGCCUUUUGGCUAAGAUCAAGUGUAGUAUCUGUUUUUACCAGUUUAAUAUCUGAUACAUCCUCUAUCUGAGGACAAUAUAUUAAAUGGAUUUUUGGCUGAGAGUUGGAAUAGGAGCUUGCUACAUCCACUCCUUGCAUAGACCUGGUAUUUCAGUACUUUCAGGAAAGGUACACUCCCA